rnacentral:lncRNA from 1 species
GAUAUUUUCGUUAUUAUAGAGACAUAUAAAAAGAAUGGUAGAAUUUCCAUAGAUUAUUUUUGUAAAAAAAAUCAAAAAAACUAAUUAUUAGAACUAUGACUUUUCAGCCAGUUUCUUCACGAAUUAUGUCUUUUCAGCAGCACACUCUUUCUUCUUCGUUUUUUUUCCUUCUUUUCCCUUCUCAUCUCUUCGUUUUCCUUCUUCUCCUUCCAUUGUAGUCACUAAUCUCCGGCAAACAGGGUCACUAAUCAGGCUAAACGACUUAUCUUCUUCCCAUAUUCACCAGAUCCAAUCUCAGAUCAAUCAGAACCACCAUGCUCUUUUUCUUCCUCCCGAAUCUGACGAAACUGUAUAGAGGCGUGAGGCUGCGUGGAUCUGUUAGCUGAAGAACCGGCUCGUCUUUGGGUCAGAAACAUCGACACGGCGGCGGAGGGUUUUCCCGGUGAGAUUUCUUGAGAUUUUAGCGGUGGUGGUUGUUCCAGAUCUCUUAAGACGGCAAUCCGCCGGCGGUGGUGGUUGUUCCAGAUCUCUUAAGACGGCAAUCCGCCGGCGGUGGUGGUUCCAGAUCUGCGAGCGUAGUUUUUCUUUUGCCAAUUUCGGUUUAGAUUGGGUUUAGCAUUUUGGUUUCGGUUUAGAUUUAGUUUAACGUUAAUUUAGUUUAAAAAAUGUAAUUUCUUUAAUUAAAAUUAAUUAAAUUUAAAUUUCCGAAUUAUUUUUUAAUUUUAUUUCUAAUUUUUAACAAAAAAAAAUAAUCUCUGAAUUUUGUAAACUAAUUUUUUAUUUAUUAUUAACAAAAUUUUAUGAUUAUAUUUAUUAAUAAGUUUGUUGGUCUUUUAUUUUCGACCAAAUUGUUGGUCAAAUUUUUUGACCAAAAUUAUUGAUCACAAAGUUUGACUAUUUUGUUACUAAAUUUAUUUUCGACCAUCGAUCUGACAACCUAUAUUUGGUCAAAAAUUAGACAAAAAAAAAACUGUUUUUGACCAUUUGUUGACCAUUUUUGACCUUUUUUUUACCAUUUUGGUAGUCAGAUUUUACUUGUUUUCUUAUAGUGAAUGGGCCAAGAAGCUUUUCUUCUCUAAAUGGAUGGAUGGAUGAUGGAAUGAAUCAAGAAUGGAUCCAAUGACACCACGCAAUCGAUGAAGAUGUUGUGAUAAGUUAGUUUGAACUCAAUAACAAAGAGAAACUACAUGAUGCUCAAAAACUCGACGGCGGCCACUUUUCUUAAAGAAAACAUUUGUUUUAAUGAUUAGGUAAAAAGUUGUGUCUACAAAACUGAAUGAUGAGCUUUAUUAAUAGCUCAGAACGGCGAUCUUUUAGAGUCUUAAAAAAAACGAAAGACAUUACAAAAAGUGAAAGAAAAAUUACAAAUGAA